UACGUAGGGGGCAAGCGUUGUCCGGAAUUAUUGGGCGUAAAGAGCGCGUAGGCGGUCCGAUAAGUCGGCUGUGAAAGUCAGGGGCUCAACCCUUGAAAGCCGGCCGAUACUGUCGGACUAGAGUCCGGAAGAGGCAAGUGGAAUUCCCGGUGUAGCGGUGAAAUGCGCAGAUAUCGGGAGGAACACCAAUGGCGAAGGCAGCUUGCUGGGACGGUACUGACGCUGAGGCGCGAAAGCGGGAUGGGAGCAAACGGGG
rnacentral:rRNA from 1 species